rnacentral:rRNA from 1 species
AGAGUUUGAUCAUGGCUCAGAACGAACGCUGGCGGCAUGCCUAACACAUGCAAGUCGAACGCGUGACUUCGGUCACGAGUGGCGCACGGGUGAGUAACGCGUGGGAACCUGCCCCGAGGUGGGGGAUAACCGAUGGAAACGUCGGCUAAUACCGCAUACGACCUGAGGGUGAAAGAUUUAUCGCCUUGGGAGGGGCCCGCGUCGGAUUAGCUAGUUGGUGGGGUAACGGCCUACCAAGGCGAUGAUCCGUAGCUGGUCUGAGAGGAUGAUCAGCCACACUGGGACUGAGACACGGCCCAGACUCCUACGGGAGGCAGCAGUGGGGAAUAUUGGACAAUGGGCGCAAGCCUGAUCCAGCAAUGCCGCGUGAGUGAUGAAGGCCUUAGGGUUGUAAAGCUCUUUCGGCGGGGACGAUGAUGACGGUACCCGCAGAAGAAGCCCCGGCUAACUUCGUGCCAGCAGCCGCGGUAAUACGAAGGGGGCAAGCGUUGUUCGGAAUUACUGGGCGUAAAGGGCGCGCAGGCGGCCUGACAAGUCAGAUGUGAAAGCCCCGGGCUCAACCUGGGAAUAGCAUUUGGGACUGUCGGGCUAGAGAUCGGGAGAGGAGAGUGGAAUUCCCAGUGUAGAGGUGAAAUUCGUAGAUAUUGGGAAGAACACCGGUGGCGAAGGCGGCUCUCUGGACCGAUACUGACGCUGAGGCGCGAAAGCGUGGGGAGCAAACAGGAUUAGAUACCCUAGUAGUCC